UAGAAUGUUACUCAUCGCAUCACAUGGAUGCCUCGACUCUGCAUUCCGACGAAGGACGUGGCCAGCUGCGAUAAGCUUCGGUGAGCCGCUAGGCAGGCGCUAUUAACCGGAGAUUUCCGAAUGGGGAAACCCUUGAAGAGUUAUGUCUUCAAACCUGGUCCCACUUUUGAUUUCAGGAACAUUGUUUUCAUUCAUUCGUUUACUCGUUGAUUCGUUUAUUCGCAGUGCUUCAUCUCGAAUAAACGAGGACACGAAUCAACGAAUAAACGUUCUUAAGGAAUUCGCUGUAUGUGGACAGAAUUCCCGAAGUCAGAAGCGGGACCAGGAGGUCACCCUGUGAACUGAAACAUCUCACGUAACAGGGGAAAAGAAAUCAAAUUAGAGAUUCCCUUAGUAGUGGCGAGCGAAACGGGAAUAGCCCAAACCCCGCACUUGUGCGGGGGGUUGUAGGACCUCAAUAUCCGACGUCUCUCCUAUAGGCGAACGUCCCUGGAACGGGCGGCCAUAGAGGGUGAGAGCCCCGUAGACGAAAUGGGGGAGCGCGGUAGAGGAUUCCUGAGUAGGGUCGGACACGUGAAAUCCGGCCUGAAUCUGGGUGGACCACCAUCCAAGGCUAAACAGAUGCAGAGAUCUAUAGCGGAUAGUACCGUGAGGGAAAGGUGAAAAGCACCCCGAAAGGGGGAUGAAAUAGUUUCUGAAAUGUGAUGCGUUCAAGGAGUCGGAGCCCUGUAGUAUAGGGCACCUUCUGCCUGCCUUACCUCGGUGAGGUAUGCACCAGGGUUUCCUAUACUACAGGGUGACGUCGUUCCUUUUGCAUUAUGAGCCAACGAGUUCGUUGUCAGUGGCGACAGGCUAAGGCAGUCACUAGCCGGAGCCGGAGCGAAAGCGAGUCCGAAUAGGGCGAAAUUAGUCGCUGGCACGAGACCCGAAACCGGGUGAGCUAUCCAUGGGCAGGGUGAAGGGCGCCGAAAGGCGUCUGGAGGCCCGAACCAUAAUGUAUCGCAAGACAUUGGGAUGACCUGUGGAUGGGAGUGAAAAGCUUACCGAACCCGGAGAUAGCUGGUUCUCCUCGAAAUGCCUUUAGGGGCAGCCUCGUCGCGCACGAUGGGGGGUAGAGCGACUGUUUGGAUGCGGGGGUCACCUCGACCUGCCAAAUCCUGACAAACUCCGAAUACCCAUCUUUUGGUGACGGGAGUGAGACGGUGACAGCAAAUUGCCAUCGUCGAAAGGGAAAGAGCCCUAAUCAUUCGCUAAGGUCCCAAAGUACCGUUCAGUGGUAAAGGUAGUGUAGAUGCUUCGACAACCAGGAGGUUGGCUUAGAAGCAGCCAUCCUUUAAAGAAAGCGUAACAGCUCACUGGUCGAUGCAUUUAUGCGCCGAAAAUUCAACGGGGCGAAACGGUACACCGAAGCGGUGAGUGUCAUGGAGCCUUCGGGCUCUGUGGCGCAGUAGAGGAGCGUUCUGUUCAGCAGUGAAGCGGCAGCGCGAGCUCGUCGUGGAGCGGACAGAAGUGAGAAUGUUGGCAUGAGUAACUACUAGGCAGGUGAAAACCCUGCCCGCCGAAUCCCCAAGGUUUCCCACGCAACGGCAAUCGGCGUGGGGUUAGUCGGGCCUAAGGUCAGGCCGAAAGGCGUAGCCGAUGGACAGCAGGUCAAUAUUCCUGCACUUCAUGGGAAUCGUCAGAGGAUGUUGUUCAAGAGUCUUCUGAGCCUCUGUCCUCACCACACUGCGCUCUGCGCAGAAAACCCAAAACCCAAAAUCCAAAUCUCAAAUACGCUCCAAUUUCCAAGUUUCAAGCAUUUUGAAAUUUGGUCACUGGAAUUUGUUUGGGUUUUGGGAUUUGGUACUUGGGAUUUCUGACCGGAGGUCAGUGUGGUGGGGACACGUUCCGGAGAAAGGAGAACUUCAUUCUAGGAGCGGUGUGACGGAGCGGGAACACCAGAGCGUAUGUAUUGACUGUACGUGGGACGCGCAAAGCGUUGAUUCCGGGAGGUAAAUCCCCUGGAUGAGCUGAGCGUUGACCCGAUCACCCCGCGCAAGCGGGGCGAGUCUGACUGUUUCUGCUUCCAAGAAAACCAUCGCUCAUAGAGUUCCAUGAAACCGUACCGCAAACCAACGCCGGUGGGGUGGUCGAGUAGACCUAGGUGAACGGGAAAACUCGCGUUAAGGAACUCGGCAAUGAAGCGUCCGUAACUUCGGGAUAAGGACUCCCCGUCGCAAGACGGGGCGCAGCAAAAGAGCCCAGGCGACUGUUUAUCAAAAACACAGGUCCCUGCAAAGCCGCAAGGCAACGUAUAGGGGCUGAUGCCUGCCCAGUGUCAGAAGGUCACGUGAGGGGGUGUAUGCCUCCGAUCUAAGCCCUGAUGAACGGCGGCCGUAACUAUAGAACGGACCAGUUGUAGUUACGUUAAUAAAUCUCCACAGUAGUAAGCCCAUUGGGCUACUACAUGGCCAUGUAGUGACGCGCAGCGUCUACUACAUGGGACUAUAUGCUGGAAACUCCCGCGUAUCCUCUACGCCGAAAGGUAUGAGGUGGGGACAAUCAGCAGGAAAGACCCUGAGAGCAAUCGAAGGGAAUCCUCAGAGACUAUACGUCAGACUCAAGGAGCAAUUCUUGAGAAGAUAUAGUCCGAUCUCAUGGGCGACCAUGAGCAUCUCACUUUUCCUAAUAGGUGAGAGACCCCGUAGAACGGGGGAACAUAUGAACGGUCCUAAGGUAGCGAAAUUCCUUGUCGGGUGGUCGAUAACCACGUAAAGCGACUUCGUCGCCACGUGGCAUGCUUGCCCGAAUGCAUCGCAAGGUGCAGCACUGAGGAAUGAGUCGUGUUACGAAAGGCAGUCCAUGCAUUCUUUUGAAAAUCGAGUUCCAAAACCGGAUAAUUUGAGACAAUUUUUGAUCAAUGUACCGAUCAGUGAAAAACGUCCCCACUUCGCUCCUUCCCACUUCGCUCCUUCGAGAGCUACGUGGGACAAGUCAGGAGCUACGCGGGGCCACGUGGGCCGAAAGGCCUUUACGUGGCGCUAUAUGCUGGAAAACCCGAGUAUGAAGUAGUACCAUUUGUCUCUAUGGCAAGCGGUGAAAACCUAUCUUCUGCGGGCAAUCAGCAGGAAAUUCCUUGGAUAGUGAGAAAUCGAGAAUUUCUCAAAGAACUCGAGGCUCAGCGGGCAGUAGUUGCCCGCAGCACUCGUGGUAAUGCCGAUGAAAUCCUCGUAUUGCUUGAUGAGAUUCGCGACACUGCAAUGGGUAUCGAUGUGUUAACGCCAGAACAAGGUGAAGAACACACUCAUGUACUCAUCGAUGCAGUCAAUCGUAAGCUCUCACCAUUUUCACAUUACCUAUCCUAAAGAAGCUCCUCAGAGACUACACGCGACGCUCCGCACGCUUCGAGCGAUGCGGAGAUGAUAUAGUCCGAUCCCAGUAGCGAUAUUGGGUGCAACGAAUCCGGUUGCAGCAAAAAAACAACGGAGAGAAUUACGAAGUACGAAUUAUGAAUUAAGAAUGAUUCUUAAUUCCUGAUUCUCAAUUCUUAAUUCUCGUAAGGUUGUGCGCUCUGCACUCGCAGAGACGCUGGUUCACCACCAGCGGGAACCAUGAAGUUCCGACCCGCACGAAUGGUACAACGGUCUGGGCACUGUCUCGACGCGAGGUCCGGUGAAAUUACAAUCCCGGCGCAAAUGCCGGGUAGAUCACGGUAGGACGAAAAGACCCUAUGAAGCUUUACUAUACGCUGACAUUGUGUCGUUGGUUUGCGUGCGCAGGAUAGGUGGGACCCUUUGAAGUCGUGGCUUCGGCCGCGGUGGAGGGGCCGUUGAGAUACCACCCUCGCGUUCCGCCGAUACUCACUCCGUCUGUGAAACGCAGCGGAGGACAGUGUUUGCCGGGUAGUUUAACUGGGGCGGUUGCCUCCUAAAGUGUAACGGAGGCGCGCAAUGGUCCACUAGCGCCGGAUGGAAAUCGGCGCAGUCGUGUAAUCGCACAAGUGGGCCUGACUGUGAGGCUUACAGGCCGAGCAGAGACGAAAGUCGGUGAUAGUGAUCCGGCAACCUGAGCAUUUUUUAUAUUUGCUCUCACCACGUGGGUGGGUUGUCGCUCAACGGAUAAAAGUUACUCUAGGGAUAACAGGCUGAUCGGUCCCAAGCGCCCACAGCGACGGACCGGUUUGGCACCUCGAUGUCGGCUCAUCGCAUCCUGGGGGUGGAGAAGCUCCCAAGGGUUUGGCUGUUCGCCAAUUAAAGCGGUACGCGAGCUGGGUUCAGAACGUCGUGAGACAGUUUGGCCUCUAUCCACCGUGAUCAUUUGGGAACGUGAAGGAAGCUGCUCCUAGUACGAGAGGACCGGAGCGGACGAACCUCUGGUGUACCUGUUGUCGCGUCAGCGGCAUCGCAGGGUAGCUAUGUUCGGCGGGGAUAACCGCUGAAAGCAUCUAAGUGGGAAGCCCCUCCUAAGAUUGCGUUCCCCCAUAAGUCCGCCGGUAGACUACCGGCUAGAUCGGCCACAGGUGUACGCACAGUAAUGUGCUCAGCUAAGUGGUACGAAUGGACAAUUGAACAUUCUAUU
rnacentral:rRNA from 1 species